rnacentral:miRNA from 12 species
CAUCGGGCAUAUCGUGUCUGUCC